GCCCGAGUGGUGAAAUUGGCAGACACGCUAGACUAAGGAUUCUAAGUGAGGCAACUCAUGCAGGUUCAAGUCCUGUCUCGGGCACCA
rnacentral:tRNA from 1 species